rnacentral:rRNA from 1 species
GACGAACGCUGGCGGCGUGCUUAACACACGCAAGUCGAACGGAAAGGCCCUGCUUUUGUGGGGUGCUCGAGUGGCGAACGGGUGAGUAACACGUGAGUAACCUGCCCUUGACUUUGGGAUAACUUCAGGAAACUGGGGCUAAUACCGGAUAGGAGCUCCUGCUGCAUGGUGGGGGUUGGAAAGUUUCGGCGGUUGGGGAUGGACUCGCGGCUUAUCAGCUUGUUGGUGGGGUAGUGGCUUACCAAGGCUUUGGCGGGUAGCCGGCCUGAGAGGGUGACCGGCCACAUUGGGACUGAGAUACGGCCCAGACUCCUACGGGAGGCAGCAGUGGGGAAUAUUGCACAAUGGGCGGAAGCCUGAUGCAGCAACGCCGCGUGCGGGAUGACGGCCUUCGGGUUGUAAACCGCUUUCGCCUGUGACGAAGCGUGAGUGACGGUAAUGGGUAAAGAAGCACCGGCUAACUACGUG